rnacentral:rRNA from 1 species
CCUACGGGAGGCAGCAGUGAGGAAUAUUGGUCAAUGGCCGGAAGGCUGAACCAGCCAAGGCGCGUGAGGGAGGAAGGUGCAGAGCGUCGUAGACCUCUUUUGUCGGGGGACAAAAGGCCGGACUCGUCCGGUCCUGAGGGUACCUGGAGAAAAAGCAUCGGCUAACUCCGUGCCAGCAGCCGCGGUAAUACGGAGGAUACGAGCGUUAUCCGGAUUUAUUGGGUUUAAAGGGUGCGCAGGGGGGCCUUUAGGCCGGCGGUGAAAGUGGGGGGCUCAACCCCGCAGUGCCGUCGAAACUGGGAGCCUUGAGUGCGUCGGAGGCAUGCGGAAUGCGCGGUGUAGCGGUGAAAUGCAUAGAUAUCGCGCAGAACCCCGAUUGCGAAGGCAGCUUGCCGUGCCACGACUGACGCUGAGGCACGAAAGCGCGGGGAUCGAACAGGAUUAGAUACCCCAGUAGUC